rnacentral:rRNA from 1 species
UACGUAGGGUGCGAGCGUUGCCCCGGAUUUAUUGGGCGUAAAGGGCGCGUAGGCGGCUCGGCACGUCCGUUGUGAAAUCGCCCGGCUCAACUGGGCGGGGUCAGCGGAUACGGUCGAGCUUGAGCAAGCUAGGGGGCAAUGGAAUUCCCGGUGUAGUGGUGGAAUGCGUAGAUAUCGGGAGGAACACCAGUGGCGAAGGCGGUUGCCUGGAGCUUUGCUGACGCUGAGGCGCGAAAGCGUGGGGGAGCGAUCCGG